GUAAUGCACCAGUCACCAGUUUUAUUUUCACUUAAUCUUAAUCUUUACAGAGAUCAUUGAACGAUGCCAGACUGUAUCAAUUCUAAAUGGAAUAUUCUGUGGUUUCUACUCAUCCUGACAGAUACCUGGGCUGAAGACGCUCCAAUUGACCAGUAUGGGUUGAAGGGAGGUUCAGUGUGUCUGACUGUAGCAGAACAACCUGAGGAACUUAAAGGACUUAGAUGGAAGGUCAAUAGUACUGUAAUGGUUGAUGAUAAAGAGAUCUCUCCUAAAUACAAGAAGAAGGUAGAUUAUAACCCAGUGAACCACACUCUGUGUAUUAAGAAUCUGACGGACACAGACAGUGGAAUUUACAUUGCAAAUACAAAGAAAAACGAUUGGACAGAUUCAACGUCUUCAUACAAACUUAAGGUGUUGGAAGCUGUUCCCAUUCCAGCCAUGCAGGUGACAUACUACAAGUUAAGUACAGGACUUUGUAACAUCACAGUGAAUUGUUCAGGCUGGAUGUUUUCUGUCUGUGAUGGAGGUCAGUGCCCACUGUACCAGGAUUCUCUGUCAGUCUCUGAGGUCAACAUCACUGUUUCCAGUGGUAAUGGAUUCAUUAAGUGUAUCGUCAACAAUCAUGUCAGCACAGAGACCAAAUCACAACGCCUGAAUGACAUAUGUAAGUCUAAUUUACUAACUUCUACCUUCUGUUCAUACCUUCUAUCAUUAUACAAAUCUAUUUAUAUGUCAACAAGGUUUUAACGUCAUAGUUAUUAUUAUUGUUCUCCAGCAAAAUGUUGAUUUGUGUGUUUGUGUGUGUGUGUGUGUGUGUGUGUGAGAGAGACGUCUCAGGUUUUGUUGAGAAGAAGGGGAGAGCUGCAGCAUCACCAGUUGGCAUCAUUGUGGGUGGUGUUAGUGGUGGAUUGUUUUUCAUUGUGUUAGUUGGUGUAGGAUGGAUCAUGUCAACCAGGAGAUGGUGUAAAUAGGAUCUGACAAUGCAGUCAGCGAGAGGCUGGAACCACAGAACACAGGGUUUCCUGAGGUAACAUCAAUCUACAACACUGCAAGUCAACCAGGAGCAGCAGUACCAGCAGCAGCAUCAGGAGGAGAAGAGGGCCAACCAGGGGACAAGUACACCACCAGAAGAGAGGAAAUAACUACAGUUCCCCCAACAGGCAUUUUACAGUACUGUGCAGCAACCAGCGGUACAAGAUCACCAUCAAGUGGACAAAGUGUGCUUCUGAGGCAGAGCCUAUAUCAGUCUUCAACAGCAACCGUACAGAAACCAGCUGCAGCACAGCACCACCCAAAGUGUGGAAUAACUUCAACAAACCAGACAGUGAACGGCACAAUGGGAGAUACAUCCGUCUCAGAAACCCUCUGAUGUUACAUGUCUGUAGCUAGGCUCCCAUUAAUUUGUCCAGUGACCUUUUGUCAACAUUUAACAAGUGUUCAUAGAAAAUAGAUGUGACAAUAGCGGAGGUCCAUAAAGAUGGCGGCCUCCAUGCACUUAACCACACAUUCUUUGUUUUGCUAAAUUCUGAGUAUUUCACAUUUCUCUCUGUUAAUAUUUUGCUGUACGUUCAUUAGCACAGCAUACAUGAUCCCAAUUUUAGCUUCAAGAUGCUGGCAAUUUGAAAAAGUAGAUUGUGCUGAUUUAUUGGCACAUUAAACCAUGUCAUUUAAAGACUCAGUGGAUAUUUCUAAAACAAUGAUGUCAUAUCUGAAUUCUGCCAUCUUUAUGCAUCUUCUCCAUUACCUGCUACGGUGCAUUUCCAUUGCACUGACUUGAGACGUAAUCAGAAAAAAAAUAUUAAAACAUUUAAUUAUUGAAAUACAAUUUCAGUUUAGUUCCUGAAUUGGACUCACUCACUCAAUCAAUCAAUUAAUUCACCAUUCCAGCAACCAUCCAACCAAUCAGUCAUCUGAGUAUAUUAUUAUUUUUCUAUAAUAUAUACUGUAUGUCUAAUUAUGAAUACUAAUUUCACUAGAAAGUUAUCCAUCUAUCCAUUUCAGUAUGUUCUGUAACAUCCAGCUGGUUGUGUGGAUGAACUACAAAAGUAAGACAAUCAAUUACAGCUAAAAGCAGAAGGAUCUGGGAAUAAUGUCAGCAAACCAGACACAGUGUACUGCACAACAGGAGAUAAACUACCCCUCCAACCCUCUCAGAGACUCACUGCUGUUACAUUGACUAAGACUUGACAUAGACUCAAACACCGAACCGCAAACACAUGGAGAAUGAAAUGUUUACAUCUUUUUACUUCAUGUCUAAUUACAUCUAGCAUUGUACAUACUUUACAUAUAAAUGUAUACAAAACAGUGGAAUUUACAAAUGAAAUCCAAUUGCUAUAACCCAUCUCCAACUACAUAGUUACAUUUUCCUGAAUAGAAGGUUGAGAUGACAGUGUAAAUCAACAAUAGCAAUACAAGGGCCUUGGUCAGGGAGGUGCCCAAGAACCCGAUGGUCACUCUGACAGAGCUCCAAAGUUCCUCUGUGGAGUUGGGAGAACCUUCCAGAAGGUCAACCAUCUCUGUAGCACUCUACCAAUCAGGCCUUUAUGGUAGAGACCAAAUGUUUUUUUCUGUUUCAACUUAUUUGAGAAGAAAUAGGGAAUUACUUAAUAAAAGUGGAGGGUGCCAAUAUUUUUGGUCACAACUGACCUAUGUAUACAAUGUUUUGCUUUUGAGUGUUCAGCUGAGUUGUCUGUGUGUGUGUAGAUGUGUGCAAAUGUAUGCCUUAAAAACACCCUGACUUGAUGUUCUCAUUAAGAGUUGUAUUGUCCAUCCAGACCCACAAUUUCUCUUGCUUCUCAUCUGUCAGUCCAAUCCAAGGAUCAAUUCUCAGUGUUACAACUGUUUUAUAAACUCCUAUGGAGAAAACCACACAUUUGUCAAGCAAUGGACCAAUGGUUCUCAUCCUGAUGAAAGCCUUGCUGGCUGAACGUUAAUUUUUUAUACUAUUCUAAAUGAAGUAUAUUUUUAACUUGAAGAGUGAGAGCCCUGUAUGCUUUCCACUCAAGUCAACCAAUUGAGACCGACAUGCAAAACACAGAGAUACUGAAAGAAGGAUGUAUCCUAACGUGAAGUCUGCACUUAUAUCUGAGAGUCAUGUAACAAUAAAUUACACUAAAUGAC